ensembl:lncRNA
UUGAUAUUGGUAGCAAAAGGCCAAGAAUUUAGGUGUCAAAGAAGCCUGGAUUCCUGCAUGCAUGCAAAAUAAAACCUAGUGAAGGAAGGAUAUCUUGAAACUCCCUGCUUUAUGAAAGACUCAUCUUUCAGAGAUCCUCUGAGCGUCCCAGCAAUAUGUGUACAACAAACUGAGUCUGCUUGUACAGGGAAUAAAAAAGUGAGGCCUGGGGAAUGUCCAGACUAAAACAACAGCUCUUCUUCAGAAAUGAUCCAGAGCGAGCAUGUGCAGGCACUGCAGGGCUGAACGAGAUGGAUUUGGGUCUGGAUCUCCAAAGCAAUGACAGGCACAUGGAGCCUCAAACACAUGUAAACUGAAGCUUCUUCAAGUAUUCCUUGUUUUUCAUCAUUUUUCUUCAAAAUAGCAGUAGAAAAUACCACAAGGAAAUCCCAUCGUGUGAAGUCUUUGCUUCAGCCCGUUUGCUGUUUCCUGAUAUAGCUGGUGAAGAGCUACUACGAAGCAUCUGAUCACAUCAAAGUGUGUUUUCCAGCAAUAUUCAUGCAAAAUAUCCUGCACAGAGAGAAACGUGCCUGAUUUUUAUGCUAAGAUUAACAGUGUGGAAUAUCAGCCUUUUCACAAUAAAAGUCUCUUUUGCAUUUUUCCC